GAUGAACGCUGGCGGCGUGCUUAACACAUGCAAGUCGAACGGCAAGGCCCAAGCUUGCUUGGGUACUCGAGUGGCGAACGGGUGCGUAACACGUGGGUGACCUGCCCUGCACUUCGGGAUAAGCCUGGGAAACUGGGUCUAAUCCCGGACAGGACGAUGGUUUGGAUGCCAUUGUGGAAAGUUUUUUCGGUGUGUGAUGAGCUCGCGGCCUAUCAGCUUGUUGGUGGGGUAAUGGCCUACCAAGGCGUCGACGGUUAGCCGGCCCAAGAGGGUGGACGGCCACAUUAGAACUCUAAGACGGGCCAGAGUGCGACAGAAUGGAGCAGGGGGGAAUAUUGGACAAUGCGCGCAAGCCUGAGGCAGCAAGGCCGCGUGGUUGAUGACGGCUUUUGUGUGGUAAACACCGUUCGCGGGGAACGAAGCGUUGUUGUGACGGUACCUAAAGAAGAAGCACCGGCUAACUUCGUG
rnacentral:rRNA from 1 species